AAAGUGGAACUGCUGGAUCAAAAUGCACUCACCCCACUGUACUGGGAUUAUUCACAUGAAUGGCUGCCCCAUUGGACUGUAAGCUCUUGAAAGCAGGACCAGGUUUGGUGCAUUGGCUCAUCUCUGAUAUGUUGCACAAUUAAAGGAACUUAAAUGAAGCGCUCAGGUCUGUACGCUGGGAAGCUAUUCAGCGCAGCACCACACCACCGCCAACUCCUCCUCUUCCCGCCACCUGCUCUGUGCUCCACAGACAAGACUUUCUCCCUGACCGCUUCCAGCCCCAAGUAGGCCUUCCACUUCACCAUUGCUCUCCUGCUGGGAAUCACGGCAAACACCUCAUUUCCCCUUGCUGCAGACUGGACACAAAUAUGUGGCAGGAAUGCAGGGAGUCUGAGAAGAUACACACAAGCUUCUGGUUCAUUACCGGUGAGGAUGUGAACCCUAUAUGGGAAUGUAAACCAAUUGGAAU